rnacentral:rRNA from 1 species
AUUGAACGCUGGCGGCAGGCUUAACACAUGCAAGUCGAGCGGAGAUGAGGUGCUUGCACCUUAUCUUAGCGGCGGACGGGUGAGUAAUGCUUAGGAAUCUGCCUAUUAGUGGGGGACAACAUUCCGAAAGGAAUGCUAAUACCGCAUACGUCCUACGGGAGAAAGCAGGGGAUCUUCGGACCUUGCGCUAAUAGAUGAGCCUAAGUCGGAUUAGCUAGUUGGUGGGGUAAAGGCCUACCAAGGCGACGAUCUGUAGCGGGUCGGAGAGGAUGAUCCGCCACACGGGGACUGAGACACGGCCCAGACUCCUACGGAAGGCAGAAGUGGGGAAUAUUGGACAAUGGGGGGAACCCUGAUCCAGCCAUGCCGCGUGUGUGAAGAAGGCCUUAUGGUUGUAAAGCACUUUAAGCGAGGAGGAGGCUACUGAGACUAAUACUCUUGGAUAGUGGACGUUACUCGCAGAAUAAGCACCGGCUAACUCUGUGCCAGCAGCCGCCGUAACAC